UACGUAGGGGGCAAGCGUUGUCCGGAUUUAUUGGGCGUAAAGAGCGUGUAGGCGGCCAGACAGGUCCGUUGUGAAAACUCGAGGCUCAACCUCGAGACGCCGAUGGAAACCGUUUGGCUAGAGUCCGGAAGAGGAGAGUGGAAUUCCUGGUGUAGCGGUGAAAUGCGCAGAUAUCAGGAAGAACACCCGUGGCUAAGGCGGCUCACUGGACCGGAACUGACGCUGAGGCGCGAAAGCGUGGGGAGCAAACAGG
rnacentral:rRNA from 1 species